UCAGCAGUGUACAUGAAAUUUCGAACCCUAGCUUUUAAACGCAAAGAAGACGAUAAAGAGUACUGCCAAUCUCGUAAAGUUUUCGCCAACAGCAUCUUUCCAGUUCAGCGAAGUUUGAGGCUUUAAAAGCAAUCUGACAACCAUUCGGAGGCGAAAACUGGGAUGUAACAAGUGAGAGAGAAAGUUAACAGAGGGCUCCCUACGUAAAAGAUGACGUAAAGUCAACGAAGCAAGGAAGCCCAAAUGGAGCGUGUAGUGGUCUCUAAGAAAACAAAAGUCGCGAACUGAUCAGAUUCGAGCUUCAGAUAAAUUCGUACCCAUGAGAGUUGCAUAAAACUAUGAAACAUAUUUCUAAACCAAGCAACAUGCAAUACAUCGCUUUCAAUUCUAUAUUUCUGUUAAAUAUAAUUAACUACAAAUAAAAGUAAGCCAAUCCAGAUGAAUUUUUGCAUUCUCACUAGCGCUAAAGGGCCGCAUCCGCUGGAGGGAAAGUUAACAACUUCCCUAGCAGUACCAGUGGCGCUUGCACUGCCAUCUUUUUCAUCUUCUUUUGAGUUUUAUCAACUAGUGUCGAUGAUCGACACUAGUUGCAUUCAGGGUGACGUUUUCUUACAGACCAUCUCUGUAGUUGUGACAAUAUUUCGCCUCGAGCGAGCAGUUUCCCCGUAAGAGGAUGUAGAUUCGAAGAUACAAUCUUCUCGGUU